rnacentral:rRNA from 1 species
CAGUAGCCACGGGAAUACGUAGGUGGCAAGCGUUGUCCGGAAUUAUUGGGCGUAAAGGGCUCGCAGGCGGUUUCUUAAGUCUGAUGUGAAAGCCCCCGGCUCAACCGGGGAGGGUCAUUGGAAACUGGGAAACUUGAGUGCAGAAGAGGAGAGUGGAAUUCCACGUGUAGCGGUGAAAUGCGUAGAGAUGUGGAGGAACACCAGUGGCGAAGGCGACUCUCUGGUCUGUAACUGACGCUGAGGAGCGGAAGCGUGGGGAGCGAACAGGAUUAGAUACCCCCGUAGUCCCUGUCUCUUAUAC